GACAGAGGGUGCAAGCGUUGUUCGGAUUUACUGGGCGUAAAGGGCGCGCAGGCGGUUCUGUUUGUCGAGUGUGAAAGCCCCGGGCUCAACCUGGGAACUGCGCUCGAAACGGCGGAACUAGAGUUCGGGAGAGGAGAGUGGAAUUCCCAGUGUAGAGGUGAAAUUCGUAGAUAUUGGGAAGAACACCCGUGGCGAAGGCGGCUCUCUGGGACGGUACUGACGCUGAGACGCGAAAGCGUGGGGAGCGAACAGG
rnacentral:rRNA from 1 species